rnacentral:lncRNA from 1 species
UCCUUAAGCAACUCCUGGAUGCAACGGUCUUGACAAAGAGGGUCCUUGGGUGUUUGUCAUGCUCAAGUUCUGGUAAGUAGAUCCAUACCUGUAAGAGAAAAAUAAGACCAAACAGAAUUAAAGACUUAGAACACUAUGUGAGACAAUAAGCCUUCCUAUUGGACACAUGAAAAAUAUGAUUGAGGCUAUUUUGCAAAAUGGCUUAUGAGGCCAAAAUGUGGCUAGAAGUGCAAACUCAACAAAAGUGACCUCUAAGACAUGGAAAAAUUACUUUGAAGAAAUAACCCAUUUUGUAGAAAUGGCCUAUGUGGUCAAAAAAUGGCUAAGCAUGCAAGUUCAACAGAAUGGACCUUAAAUAGAGAGGACACUUUGUUGUGGACUUAGGACUCUAAGACAUGUGUUAACAACCGCUUUUGCGAAAAUGGCCCCAUUUUGCAAGAAUGGCUGACACGACCUAAAAGUAGCUAGAUAUGCAAAUUCAAGAAGGACGGACCUUAAAAUAAGAGUACAACUAAUUUUGGAUUGAAGACUCUCCAAACACAAUUAAACAAGCCACUUUGCGAAAAAUAGCCCUAUUUUGCAAAACGACCGAUGUGGCCAAAGGUGGCUAAAGAUGCAAGAUUUGGCUACUACCCUCGAAGACAAGAACCUAAGACUCACUAGGAAGACCGGUCCCUAUGUACGUUGCCUACGUAUCAUGCCCCGAAAGACGAGAAUCAGGUGCGUGUAGUUCGGAAAGAAUGGAUACCGGCGAGAAUUAAAAAAAAUAACUAAUUUAGAGAAAAUAUAUUUUUUUUUUUUUGAAAAGUGAUGAAACAUGUAAAAUCUUUUUGGAUUUUCUUUUUCCUUUUUUUUGAUUUUUUUUGGAAAAAGAUGGGAAAGUACAAAAUCUUUUUGGAUUUUUCAUUUUUUUUGUCUUUUUCUUAAAACGAUUGUGAAAGAAAAACAUAAAUGGGCCCUACUUGCUUUAUUUUUACACUCCACCCUCUGUUUUCUCUCAUUUAUCCUCAAUGGUCUGCCAAAUGACCCCUUUUACCCUUGAAGAUUGCAACAUGUAGCACAUAGGAUGCAUUAAGAUGGUCUUUUAUUUUUAGGAUACACCUGUCCAAGACGGACCCAACCCUUGUGUUGAGUCCCCAAAGUCAAAUGCACAUAAUGUAAACCAGAGUUCCUAUUAGGGAUCCGUCACGAGGCUGUGUUAUUCUAGGUUUAAAACUUGGGUGUAUUGUUCUAGACCUGGCUUACCCGAGUGGACAACUCGAGCCGAGAGGGGCAGCGUACCAGUAACCAGAAGAUCAUCCGGCUUUGCAAUUUGCCUAAACCUCAUUCUAAAUUGGGAUAUGACACUAACAGAAAAUAAGUCAUGCCAGCGUGAACCUCCUAGAAGAUUAGAAGAGAAGGGUUUUGCAACAGUUUAUAUACAGUUCAAAUAAUAUCAAAGCGGUAAAAAACGACAUUUAGCACAUUAGGCCCAAGCAUGUAAUAAAAGUCAGAUAAUAAACAGAAGUCAAAUAUAACAAUUAUUCUAAGCUAGAAUUCUUGAACCCUGAAUCAAAGAUUCUGGGUUCGAUCCCCAGCAGAGUCGCCAGAGCUGUCACACAUCCUUUUUCUACCCGAAAGGGAUGGGAGUUUUUCCAAUUAAAGUGACAUUAAUCGAAAUGGGAUUAUUUAUUUAAGUUCAGAAUCACCACUUGGGAUAAUUUAUGGUGUCCCAAGUCACCAGUUUAAAAUCCCGAAUCGAAGAAGUUUUGUCACGACCCCGGUUCGCCCUUCGUGAACCAUCGUGAUGGCACCUAGUCUCUACGACUAGGUAAGCCUACACUUGCGGAAGAUAACCAAAACUUGCAGAAGUAAAAUAAUUUAAAAAUAGAAAUAAGGCAAUAACAGUGUUUAAAUGUGCCACUCGGCGUACACCAUAUAUAUAAAUCUAAAAACCAAUAUCCAAAUCCAAGACCCGGAAACCCACGAAUCACAAGCUAAGAAAAAGAAAUACUACAUAGCUCUAACUCCGAAAUUGUCUAAUAAGAAUAGAAAGUACAGAAUGGCUAAAUACUAGAAAGCAUGAACAGAAAGGGACUCCUUGGUCUGCAGACGUGGGAAAUGUACCUCGAAGUCUCUAAGUAGUCGUCUCCCUCAAGGAUAGUAGGCCUGAGUAGAAGUACCUGGAUCUGCACAUGAAAAAUAUGCACAAAAGAGGCAUGAGUACACCAUAGCGGUACUCAGUAAGUGUCAAGCCUAACCUCGGUUGGGUAGUGACGAGGAAGGUCAGGGCGCUACUGAGAUUAAAUACAAUAUAAGGGUUAACAGUGUGGAAUAAAACAAUAUAAAUAAGUGCAAUAGUAAGAAAUAGCAUAGAAUUGACAGAACAACAACAAUUGGAAUAAAGACAAAACAAGCCACGGAAAGAAAUACAGCUCAACACAGAGAUAACAAUCGGGGCACCUUCUAGGAUACCGUCCUGUAGUCCCAAUUACAACUGUCCAGUAGAUCUCCCGGGAUACCGUCCCGUAGUCCAUCAUAUAUAUGUCCGAAGGAUUUCUCGGGAUCUCGUCCCGUAGUCCAACUAUCAAUGCGCGAGGAUCUACCGGAAUCCCGAUUGGUAGUCCUAAAUGUAAUUACCCAGUACUGGGGGAAUCUACCGGGUGCAUUCCCAUAGUUCCAUAUAACUGUACAGGGCGAUCUAUCGGGAAUCUAACCUGCAGUCCCAAAGUAAAUGUGUAGGGGGGUCUAUCGGGAAUCUAACAUAUAGUCCCAAAGUAAACAGACAAGGGGGAGCUACCGGAAUCCCACAUCCGUAGUCCCAAUGUAAAUACACAGCAGCAGCAAGAAGAUAUACAGAAAUGGCAAAUUUUCAUAUUAAGGCAAUAAGUGAUUCUAGCCUAGCAUGCUGCACAGAAUUCAAGUAAGGCAGGUUGAAUCAAAUAAAGCAAUUAAGUCACUUAGACAUGCUUUCCUAACCUAACAAUAGGCUUAAUAGUGCAAGUAAUAGAAACAGGAUAGGAAACAUGCUAGUAUUUACUUAAAGAAAAUCGGAUUUCCAACAAUUAGCACAAGUACGCACUCGUCGCCUCACGUACAAGGCAUUUCAAUUACCAAACAUACCAAUCCUAAGGGGAAGGUCCCCCCCCCCCCACAAGGUUAGACAAGCCACUUACCUCGAACCAGCUCAAAGUCAACCCGAAACCACUCUCUUGCCACGAGUACUCGACUCCAAAUGACCCAAAUCUAUUCAAUUCAAUCGCAUAACGUAAAUAACACUUCAAGCAACUGAUUCUACAAUUAAAUUCUAAGCUAAAACGUAAAAUUAUGUAAAAUGACCAAAAUGCCCCUCGGCCCACGUCUCGGAAUUGGGUAAAAUUUAUAGUUUCAGAAUCCUCACACUCUUACGAGUUUAAAAAUUGUCCAAAUCCGAUUUCAAAUCCCCAAUCAAAACACAAUUCUUUGCCUAAGAACUUUUCCCCAAAUUUUCAUACAAAUUUCAAAAUUAAAGGAUGAAUUCAUGUUUAAAAUAAUGGGUUACAAGCAAAAAUGAGUUAAGAAUCGUUACUCAAUCGAUAUCUUUGAAAAUACCUCAAAAUCUCGCUCAAAUCCGAGCUCCCAAGCUUAAGUUUUGAUAAAAAUGGAUAAAGCCCUCGAUUUUGAAAUCUUAUAUCUGCCCAGAAAAUUCCUUCUUCGCGAACGCGGUCAAAGCCUCGCGUUCACGAAGCAUAAAAUAACUUUGACCAUUUUUCCUUCUUCGCGAACGCGUCUCUCACUCCGCGAACGCGAUGCCUUGCACAGACGAACCUUCGCGAACGUGAUGCACAAAACUCCACUGGGCCAUUUCCUCUUCUGUGAACGCGAAGCCCAAUCACGAACACAUAACACAACCAUCCAGCCUAUUCGCGAAUGCGGAGGCCCUCUCGCGAACGUUAAGGCCAAACUUUUCCCCCAGUCCCAUCUCCUCUUCGCGAACGCGAGAACCCACUCACAAACGUGAUGAAGGAAACCAGAACUGAUUGCUACAACAUUUUUUGCAAUUUCCUAAGUUCCAAAAAUGAUUCGUUGAGCAUCCGAAACACACUCGAGGCCCCCGGGACCUCAACCAAACCUGCCAACCAAUCCUAAAAUAUCAUUCAAACUUGUUCCAACCUUUGGAACGCUCAAAACAACAUCAAAAUGCCUAUUUUUCAUCGGAUUUAAGCUUAAAAUUCCAAAAACUCUAAAAACACACUUUCGAUCAAAAAGUCUACCAAACCUCGUCCGAAUAACCUGAAAUUUUGCAAACACAUCCCAAAUGAUAUGACAGAACUACUGCAACUCUUGGAAUUCCAUUCCGACCCUCGGAUCAAAAUCUCCCUAUCGAACCGGAACUUCAAAAAUUCAACUUCUGGCAUUUCAAGCCUAAAUUAGCUACAGACCUCCAAAACACACUCCGAACACGCUCCUAACCCUGAAAUCACCCAACGGAGCUAACAGAACCAUCGGAUUUCCAUUCCGAGUCCGUAUUCACACAGUUCCGACUACGGUCAACUAUCCAGCACUUAAGCUCUCAUUUAGGGACUAAGUGUCCCAAAACUCUCCGAAACUCAAAAUCGACCAUCACGGCAAAUCAAAAUAGCAGAAAUAAACUUGGGAAAAGCAGUUAAUAGGGGAUCAGGGCGUUAAUUCUUAAGACGACCGGCCAGGUUGUCACAAAUCCGGGUAAGGAAUUCUGUUAACCCGGGAGAAGGUGUUAGGCAUUCCCGAAUUCCGUGGUUUUAUUACGGUCGCUCAACUAUUGUUAUUGGCCUAAUUAUCUGAGUAAUUACAUAUUUUAUACCUAUUGUGUAUUUUUAAACUUUGACCGCUUUUAAUUAUUUAUGAAAGUAUUCUGGAACAAGUUACGAUUGUCGUACACUUGUUGGUUUGGUACACAUUGUGAAUCGUGUCACGGGAACCGUAUCCAUGAUCUACAACAUAUUUAAUUUAUUAACAUUAUUAGAAGUUAUGGCUGUGUCACAUGAAAUAUGCACCCGGAUUUGGAAAUUACGUAUCAUAACCAUGUCGCAAAAACCGUACUCAUAGUCACGAUAAUUCAUUAUUACUAAUCGCGCCUAAAGCAAGCUACGAUAUUCACAAGUUACUUUCCUAAACUACUUUAAGAUUAGGGUGAGGCUACGAAUUAAGAAUAUAAAAUAUAGAAAAAUGGGUCAACUUAACAGAACACCAAAUCCAUAAGAUUUAAUUGAAAAACAAUCGGCCCCAAAUUCCAUUCACAUCUUCAUUUUUGUAAAUUGUUCAAAUCUGAUCCCCACAUCAUUAGUGAACAGUGUUAAACUGGCUACUUUACAAUCGGACCUAAUAUUGAAAGGAUAUUCUUUUAACGUCAGCUCAAACUCCUUCUCACAACAAAGCAAGCUAAAGGAAAUAAGUCCCAAGUUUCCAAAGGGGAUCACAAACAUAGAACAGAAGCAACAAUAGUUUAAGAGCACUGAAACGAUCACUAAACCAAACAAAACUUCAAUUAUUCAUAAUACCUAAUCAUUCACAAUAAUUAUUCACAUGAAAAAUACCUAACUUCAAUUAUUCACAUAAUACCUAACUUCAAUUAUUCACAUCAAAACACCUAAUCAUUCAUAAUAAAUAAACAGUACCAACUCAAAUCAUGAAAAAUUAUAUAACACAUGAAGCAUUCAUAACACCUAAUCACGUAGAAUAAACAAACAACUCAAUAAUCAAUCCCAAGAAUCAACAAGCAUAUAACGUCAAUGAAAUAAGGAAGCAAUGUCGAGAAAUGGACCUUUCAAUAGCUAAAUAUUCUUCAACUCAACAAGAACAGAUAUCUGCUGGACUUUUACGUGAAGUAACCACAACCGAAAAUGACACCUAGAACUUCGACGGAGCUUUGAACCUCGACUAAAACUCUUGUAUUUUCGGUCGUGUUUGGAGAGCUUUUGGAGGUUGUUUGGCUGUAUUUUAGAACUGUUUUGUUGUGGCUUCAGGUGGUGUUUUUGUGGAGUUGAGACGGCGAUGGAGGUGAAGGAGGAAGUCUGGUUCGUGGUUGUUCCAGCGAGCUGAGUCGAGGAUGAUGAAGAAGAAAGUCGUUGCUGCCGAUUUUCAGAAAUGGAGUCUCAUUUUUAUUGUGUGUGUUGUGUAUGUGUUAGUUGUUGUUCGUUUUCUGGCGAGAUCGAAGGUUGAAAAAGAAUGACGUAGGGGGGGUGGUCUCUUGGGUUCCGCGGCUGCUUCAAGACUAAGGUUCUAGGUCUGUUCAUUUUUUUUUGAAAGAGAAGAUGAAACUUCUCUUCCGAUGGAAACGGCUGGCCUUUCUGUUUUCGCCCUUUUUUUAGGUUGUCCCUAGAGUUAAGUCAAGGUGUUAGUCUUUUUUUAGGUUAUUUUUCAUUGGUACUCCCUCCGUUUUAUAAUAAAUGAGGUACUUUCCUUUUUAGUCUGUUCCAAAACAAAUGAUGCAUUUCUAAAUUUGGAAAUAAUUCAACUUUAAACUCUUUCAUUUUACCAUUUACCCUUAAUGAAAAACUUUUAUAGUCACAUAAAUGUCAUGGCCCCAUAAACCUUUUACACCUUAAGCUUUUAAGACCACAAGUUUCAAAAGCCUUCUUAUUUUUUCUUAAACUCCGUACCGAGUCAAACUACCUCAUAUAAUAUGAAACAGAGGGAGUAUAUAAGAGAGGAAAGGGUAAAUGGGCUUGGACUUAGGAAAUUGGGUUGGACCAUGUCUUUUGGGUUUGAAUUUAGGCUAAGGAGACCAAAUAAUAUAAUGUAUCUAUAAAGUGUAAAAAUCAACCUUAAUUAAAAUAAACUAAUAUAAAACUAAAUACUAAAAGUGAAACUAAUUUUUGUAUUUUCAAAUGUUAUAAUAAAGUAAAAAAUAGGAAGAAUAGGCUACAGCCAAGGUAAAAUUAAAGUACUAUAAAUUUAAAUAUACUAAUUGACUUUAAACUAAAGAUGAAAAAUAUUUUUUGUAAUUUUUAUUUUUUAAUGAUAAAAUAAAGUAAAAGAGUCAAGACUAUUUAAAAUAACGAUAUUAAACCUAAACUUAACAUUUAAACGCUAAAAAUAUAUAAAAUCUCGGGGAGGGUUAAAAAUUACAUGUUUACACUUUCCUAAUAGCUUGAUCUCCAUCGCACGACUCCAUGUGGAAUAGUUUUCUGAACCAGUCAAUUAAAUUGAGAUGAUUGGAGGUGUCCGAUGACUGAAGAAACAAUGGUUGAGAUCAGCUUUCGCCGCCAUUGAGAUUGCUGUGAAUUUAAAUAGGACAACGAUUUCAACUCGCAAUCACGUUUUUACUGCUAUGAUAUCAUGAUGAAACUUGAAUGAAUCAAUAAUGGAGACCCUAAUCUGAUAAUGCCAUAACUGAACUUGAGAGAGAAGAGAAGAAGUAGAGUAUUGUAUUGAGAGAAAAAAUGAAAAUGUGUACUGUUACAUGGAGCUAACAAUACAUAUAUAGAAAGCUCACUUCCACUAACCACCUAACUAACAUUCCACGUGUUCACAUAUUUACUACUAACUAACUGAAAUAAUAAGCUCCUACUAUUGCAUACUAAUGCUUCGUGUAAUUCUCAUUUUAUCACAUCUCCUCGUAAGCUCGUCUAUUAAGCAUACUAGUUCAACAAGUUUGAGAUUUCACCUGAGAUCAGUCCCAUAUAGGAUCACAUAUUUGCUUGUUUGUUAAUUUAAAUUCACACAUAUUUGGACCCCAUGCGUUACAAAUUAUUAGGAUUAUAACCCAGUCAAAUCAGAUAAAAUCAAGUGGAAAAUAGUUCCUGUUUGCAUGGUAGUAAAAACUUGAAACCAUAUCUUCCCUUUCAAUAUUUAUUACAACCCUUUUAGCUUUUCCACUAGCUCUUUUUUUAAGUAAUCCUGUAGAUUCUGUGCACUAAACCAAAUCCCUGCUUUAGCUUUUU